rnacentral:rRNA from 1 species
GACGAAGGAUGCAAGCGUUAUCCGGAUUCAUUGGGUUUAAAGGGAGCGUAGGUGGCCUUAUAAGUCAGUGGUGAAAUCUCUGGGCUUAACCCAGAAAUUGCCAUUGAUACUGUAGGGCUUGAGUAUAGUUGCCGUUGGCGGAAUAUGACAUGUAGUGGUGAAAUACAUAGAGAUGUCAUAGAACACCGAUUGCGAAGGCAGCUGACGAAACUAUAACGGACACUGAGGCUCGAAAGUGCGGGGAUCAAACAGG